rnacentral:rRNA from 1 species
CGGUGGAUGAUGUGGAGUUAAUUCGAUGCAACGCCGAAAACCUUAACCUACCCUUGACAUGUCCGGAAUCCUGCAGAGAUGCGGGAGGUGCCCGAAAGGGAAUACGGAACACAGGUGCUGCAUGGCUGUCGUCAGCUCGUGUCGUGAGAUGUUGGGUUAAGUCCCGCAACGAGCGCAACCCUUAUCAUUAGUUGCUACGCAAGGGCACUCUAAUGAGACUGCCGGUGACAAACCGGAGGAAGGUGGGGGAUGACGUCAAGUCCUCAUGGCCCUUAUGGGUAGGGCUUCACACGUCAUACAAUGGUCGGUACAGAGGGUUGCCAAGCCGCGAGGUGGAGCCAAUCCCAGAAAGCCGAUCGUAGUCCGGAUUGUUCUCUGCAACUCGAGAGCAUGAAGUCGGAAUCGCUAGUAAUCGCGGAUCAGCAUGUCGCGGUGAAUACGUUCCCGGGUCUU